GACGAACGCUGGCGGCGUGCUUAACACAUGCAAGUCGAACGGUGAAGCUCCAGCUUGCUGGAGUGGAUCAGUGGCGAACGGGUGAGUAACACGUGAGCAACCUGCCCCUGACUCUGGAAUAAGCGCUGGAAACGGCGUCUAAUACUGGAUACGAGAAGGGUCCGCAUGGGCACUUUCUGGAAAGUUUUUCGGUUGGGGAUGGGCUCGCGGCCUAUCAGCUUGUUGGUGAGGUAAUGGCUCACCAAGGCGACGACGGGUAGCCGGCCUGAGAGGGCGACCGGCCACACUGGGACUGAGACACGGCCCAGACGCCUACGGGAGGCAGCAGUGGGGAAUAUUGCACAAUGGGCGAAAGCCUGAUGCAGCGACGCCGCGUGAGGGAUGACGGCCUUCGGGUUGUAAACCUCUUUCAGCAGGGAAGAAGCGAAAGUGACGGUACCUGCAGAAGAAGCACCGGCUAACUACGUG
rnacentral:rRNA from 1 species